rnacentral:rRNA from 1 species
AACGAACGCUGGCGGCAUGCCUAACACAUGCAAGUCGAACGAGACCUUCGGGUCUAGUGGCGCACGGGUGCGUAACGCGUGGGAACCUGCCCUUAGGUUCGGAAUAACUCCCCGAAAGGGGUGCUAAUACCGGAUAAUGUCUUCGGACCAAAGAUUUAUGGCCUUUGGAUGGGCCCGCGUUGGAUUAGCUAGUUGGUAGGGUAAAAGCAUACCAAGGCGACGAUCCAUAGCUGGUCUGAGAGGAUGAUCAGCCACACUGGGGCUGAGACACGGCCCAGACUCCUACGGGAGGGAGCAGUGGGGAAUAUUGGACAAUGGGCGAAAGCCUGAUCCAGCAAUGCCGCGUGAGUGAUGAAGGCCUUAGGGUUGUAAAGCUCUUUUACCCGGGAUGAUAAUGACAGUACCGGGAGAAUAAGCUCCGGCUAACUCCGUG